rnacentral:tRNA from 3 species
GGGGGUGUAGCUCAGCUGGUUAGAGCGUCUGCCUGUCACGCAGAAGGUCGCGGGUUCGAGCCCCGUCACUCCCGCCA